rfam:Ramazzottius varieornatus DNA, contig: Scaffold006, strain: YOKOZTNA-1.
GUCGGUUACGGCGACAUGCGGCCAGUGGGGUUCUUCGGCAAGAUCGUCGGCUCCUUGUGUGCCAUCAGCGGUGUACUGACCAUCGCACUUCCUGUUCCUGUCAUCGUAUCCAAC